CUACGGGUCGCUGCAGUAAGGAAUAUUGGGCAAUGGACGCAAGUCUGACCCAGCCAUGCCGCGUGCAGGAUGACGGCCCUACGGGUUGUAAACUGCUUUUAUACGGGAAAAAUUCCCUGGUCGAGCAUCAGGGUUGAUGGUACCGUAAGAAUAAGCAUCGGCUAACUCCGUGCCAGCAGCCGCGGUAAUACGGAGGAUGCAAGCGUUAUCCGGAUUCAUUGGGUUUAAAGGGUGCGUAGGCGGAAUGAUAAGUCAGUGGUGAAAUCCUACAGCUUAACUGUAGAACUGCCAUUGAUACUGUUGUUCUUGAGUACAUUUGAAGUGGGCGGAAUGUGUCAUGUAGCGGUGAGAUGCAUAGAGAUGACACAGAACACCGAUCGCGAAGGCAGCUCACUAAACUGUAACUGACGCUGAGGCACGAAAGCGUGGGGAUCAAACAGGAUUAGAUACCCCAGUAGUC
rnacentral:rRNA from 1 species